CCUUAGUAGCGGCGAGUGAAGCGGCAAAAGCUCAAAUUUGAAAUCUGGCGCCUUCGGUGUCCGAGUUGUAAUUUGAAGAUUGUAACCUUGGGGUUGGCUCUUGUCUAUGUUUCUUGGAACAGGACGUCACAGAGGGUGAGAAUCCCGUGCGAUGAGAUGCCCAAUUCUAUGUAAGGUGCUUUCGAAGAGUCGAGUUGUUUGGGAAUGCAGCUCUAAGUGGGUGGUAAAUUCCAUCUAAAGCUAAAUAUUGGCGAGAGACCGAUAGCGAACAAGUACAGUGAUGGAAAGAUGAAAAGAACUUUGAAAAGAGAGUGAAAAAGUACGUGAAAUUGUUGAAAGGGAAGGGUUUGAGAUCAGACUCGAUAUUUUGUGAGCCUUGCCUUCGUGGCGGGGUGACCCGCAGCUUAUCGGGCCAGCAUCGGUUUGGGCGGUAGGAUAAUGGCGUAGGAAUGUGACUUUACUUCGGUGAAGUGUUAUAGCCUGCGUUGAUGCUGCCUGCCUAGACCGAGGACUGCGAUUUUAUCAAGGAUGCUGGCAUAAUGAUCCCAAACCGC
rnacentral:rRNA from 1 species